rnacentral:rRNA from 1 species
GGAUACCUACGGGGCGCAGCAGUGAGGAAUAUUGGUCAAUGGCCGAGAGGCUGAACCAGCCAAAUCGCGUGAGGGAUGACGGCCCUACGGGUUGUAACCCUCUUUUGCCGGGGAGCAAAGAGCGGGACGCGUCCCGCCUCGAGAGUACCCGGAGAAAAAGCAUCGGCUAACUCCGUGCCAGCAGCCGCGGUAAUACGGAGGAUGCGAGCGUUAUCCGGAUUUAUUGGGUUUAAAGGGUGCGCAGGCGGACGCGCAAGUCAGCGGUAAAGUGAGAGGCUCCACCUCUUCCCGCCGU